GUGGGGUAGUUCACGAUGAUGAUGAUGAUGAUGAUGAUGAUGAUGAUGAUGGUGAGGAUGAUAAUGAAGGUGCCACCUCAGGUUGGCUCAUUCCUUACCCUGGACAAAAUUCACACCUGUGUGGCAGGUGAGUACACAGGUGGGAGAUAGGAAGGCCCAGGGAGCCUGAGAGGUGUCAUAGUCAUAGGUAUAUUGAUGACAAAGCAGGUCCCCAGGCACAUGCCUGAACCCGUUAUGGGGAGACGGCGAGCUGAGAACAGGGGAUAAGACUGAAAGUGAGGGAGGCCGGGGGAAUGUAAACAGAGUCAUUUUUUCCCAAAGGGUCAACAUAGGCCUAAAAGAGCUGGGGAUCAGCAUCAAUGAGACCACGCUUGAUACCAUAUUUGCUCACUGUGAGAACAACAACCAAGAAUCUUCUCCCUUACUUCCGGAGCAGCAGCAGGAACUGCGUAACAGAGUCCGUAGGAGAGUCCGCCCUGGA